ACACCCCCCGAUACUAUCCAUAGUUUCAUCAAAAUAAGCAACUAGCACAACAAAAAUAGAAUCUAUCAAAAACAUACGAGUCUGUAGCAAUCUGUAUACUUCGUAUACUUCUGGUAUCUCACAAAUUCUGAAAACUUACGACAGUUUGGGAAAUUGGCAUGUCAACCAGCAGCAAAAUGAAUCAACUCAAAAGCUCUUUCUGGAUAAAAAAGAAAAAUAA
rnacentral:lncRNA from 1 species